rnacentral:tRNA from 1 species
GACGCGGUGGCCGAGCGGUUAAGGCGUGUGACUAGAAAUCACAUCUCUUCGGAGGCACAGGUUCAAAUCCUGUCCACGUCG